CAUAAUAAAAAAUACAAUUUAAAAAAAUACGUCCGAUCUCGUCCAUUCUCGGAAGCUAAGCAGGGUCGGGCCUGGUUAGUACUUGGAUGGGAGACCGCCUGGGAAUACCAGGUGCUGUAAGCU
rnacentral:rRNA from 1 species